AUUGAACGCUGGCGGCAGGCCUAACACAUGCAAGUCGAGCGGAUGAAGGGAGCUUGCUCCUGGAUUCAGCGGCGGACGGGUGAGUAAUGCCUAGGAAUCUGCCUGGUAGUGGGGGAUAACGUCCGGAAACGGGCGCUAAUACCGCAUACGUCCUGAGGGAGAAAGUGGGGGAUCUUCGGACCUCACGCUAUCAGAUGAGCCUAGGUCGGAUUAGCUAGUUGGUGGGGUAAAGGCCCACCAAGGCGACGAUCCGUAACUGGUCUGAGAGGAUGAUCAGUCACACUGGAACUGAGACACGGUCCAGACUCCUACGGGAGGCAGCAGUGGGGAAUAUUGGACAGUGGGCGAAAGCCUGAUCCAGCCAUGCCGCGUGUGUGAAGAAGGUCUUCGGAUUGUAAAGCACUUUAAGUUGGGAGGAAGGGCAGUAAGUUAAUACCUUGCUGUUUUGACGUUACCAACAGAAUAAGCACCGGCUAACUUCGUG
rnacentral:rRNA from 1 species